rnacentral:rRNA from 1 species
ACCCUCGGGUGGGGAAUAACGUCCGGAAACGGACGCUAAUGAAAAAAAACGCAGCAACGUCUAUGACGAUGCUGUUAAAGGAGCAAUUCGCCUGGGGAGGAGCUUGCGGCAGAUUAGCUUGUUGGUAGGGUAACGGCCUACCAAGGCGACGAUCUGUAGCCGGUCUAAGAGGACGGUCGGUCACACUGACACUGAAUAACGGGUCGGACUCCUACGGGAGGCAGCAGUCGGGAAUUUUGGGCAAUGGGGGAAACCCUGACCCAGCAACGCCGCGUGAAGGAUGAAGUUUUUCGGAAUGUAAACUUCGUAAGAAUGGGAAGAACAAAUGACGGUACCAUUUGUAAGCCCCGGCUAACUACGU